AACGCAUAUUGCGCCUUCCGGUAUUCCGGGAGGCAUGCCUGUUUGAGCGUCAGUUUGCACUCACAUUCGCUGCAGCAUUGGCUAGCAAGUAUUUAAUAUUUGCAUAGUAUAUUUGCAUAGUGAACUUUGUGGUAAUGAGCUAUGGGCAUUCACACAUCUGCCCCAGCUUAAAAUAUAUUGCAAUCUUGCUGACUUGUGAAACUUAGUGCAAUAGGUUUAUUCAACUCUGCUAAGUCCACAAUUCAAAGUCGGCAUAUUGAUUAAUUCAUGCUAUAUUAAACUACUCUUGAUUCAAUCAACCCUUCUCUUUAGAGACAAGGAGUGUAUGAGAUUAAGGUAUAUAAAUUAUCGUGAACUUUUAUUUGACCUCAAAUCAGGUAGGGAUACCCGCUGAACUUAA
rnacentral:rRNA from 1 species